UAGUUGCUGGGUAUAGACCCGAAACCAGGCGAUCUAUCCAUGAGCAGGUUGAAGGUUGGGUAACACUAACUGGAGGACCGAACCCACUGUCGUUGAAAAGCCAGGGGAUGACUUGUGGAUAGGGGUGAAAGGCUAAUCAAGCCUGGUGAUAGCUGGUUCUCCCCGAAAGCUAUUUAGGUAGCGCCUCGGACGAAUACCAUUGGGGGUAGAGCACUGUUUCGGCUAGGGGGUCAUCCCGACUUACCAAACCGAUGCAAACUCCGAAUACCAAUGAGUACUAUCCGGGAGACAGACUGCGGGUGCUAACGUCCGUAGUCAAGAGGAAAACAAUCCAGACCGCCAGCUAAGGCCCCAAAAUCAUAGUUAAGUGGGAAACGAUGUGGGAAGGCAUAGACAGCUAGGAGGUUGGCUUAGAAGCAGCCACCCUUUAAAGAAAGCGUAAUAGCUCACUAGUCGAGUCGGCCUGCGCGGAAGAUGUAACGGGGCUAAAACUAUGUGCCGAAGCUGCGGAUUUGACAUUAGUCAAGUGGUAGGGGAGCGUUCUGUAAGCCGAUGAAGGUGUAUUGAGAAGUAUGCUGGAGGUAUCAGAAGUGCGAAUGCUGACGUGAGUAACGACAAAACGGGUGAAAAACCCGUUCGCUGAAAGACCAAGGGUUCCAGUCCAACGUUAAUCGGGGCUGGGUGAGUCGACCCCUAAGGCGAGGCCGAGAGGCGUAGUCGAUGGGAAAUUGGUUAAUAUUCCAAUACUUCUGUGUAAUGCGAUGAGAGGACGGAGAAGGUUAAGUCAGCCUGGCGUUGGUUGUCCAGGUGGAAGACAGUAGGCAUGCAUCUUAGGCAAAUCCGGGGUGCUCUAUGCUGAGAGUCGAUAGCAAGCUGUACUUGUACAGUGAAGUGGCUGAUACCAUGCUUCCAGGAAAAGUCUCUAAGCUUCAGUUACACAGGAAUCGUACCCGAAACCGACACAGGUGGUCAGGUCGAGUAGACCAAAGCGCUUGAGAGAACUCUGCUGAAGGAACUAGGCAAAAUGGUACCGUAACUUCGGGAGAAGGUACGCUGCUGACGGUGAUGGGACUUGCUCCCUGAGCUAUUGGCAGCCACAGAAACCAGGCCGCUGCAACU
rnacentral:rRNA from 1 species